rnacentral:rRNA from 1 species
AGGUGUAGCGGUGAAAUGCGUAGAGAUUUUGGAGGAAUACACGGUGGCGAAAGGCGGGCCCCCCUGGACAAAGACUGACGCUCAGGUGCGAAAGCGUGGGGAGCAACACAGGAUUAGAUACCCUGGUAGUCCACGCCGUAAACGAUGUCGACUUGGAGGUUGUUCCCUUGAGGCGUGGCUUCCGGAGCUAACGCGUUAAGUCGACCGCCUGGGGAGUACGGCCGCAAGGUUAAAACUCAAAUGAAUUGACGGGGGCCCGCCCAAGCGGUGGAGCAUGUGGUUUAAUUUGAUGCAACGCGAAGAACCUUACCUACUUUUGACAUCCAGAGAACUUAGCAGAGAUGCUUUGGUGCCUUCGGGAAUUUUGAGACAGGUGCUGCAUGGCUGUCGUCAGCUCGUGUUGUGAAAUGUUGGGUUAAGUCCCGCAACGAGCGCAACCCUUUUCCUUUGUUGCCAGCGGUUCGGCCGGGAACUCAAAGGAGACUGCCAGUGAUAAACUGGAGGAAGGUGGGGAUGACGUCAAGUCAUCAUGGCCCUUACGAGUAGGGCUACACACGUGCUACAAUGGCGCAUACAAAGAGAAGCGACCUCGCGAGAGCAAGCGGACCUCAUAAAGUGCGUCGUAGUCCGGAUUGGAGUUUGCAACUCGACUCCAUGAAGUCGGAAUCGCUAGUAAUCGUAGAUCAGAAUGGUACGGUGAAUACGUUCCCGGGCCUUGUACACCCCGCCCGUCACCCCAUGGGAGUGGGUUGCAAAAGAAGUAGGUA